rnacentral:misc_RNA from 1 species
UUUCCGUAGGUGAACCUGCGGAAGGAUCAUUAUCGUACAAAAUGUGAGGGGCAUGCGAGGGCUGUCGCUGACCCAAAAGUCGUGCACGCCCGAGUGUGUCCUCUUGCAUAAUAAUCCAUCUCACCCUUUGUGCAUCACCGCGUGGGCACCCUUCGGGAUCAUCUCGGGGGGGGGCUCGCGUUUUCACACAAGCCCCCCUUUUAAAAGUGUAGAAUGACCACAUUUAUGCAAUCAAUACAACUUUCAACAACGGAUCUCUUGGCUCUC